UACGUAGGGCGCAAGCGUUGUCCGGAAUUAUUGGGCGUAAAGAGCGUGUAGGCGGCCAGGUAGGUCUGCUGUGAAAACUCGAGGCUUAACCUCGAGCUGUCGGCGGAAACCAUCUGGCUAGAGUCCGGAAGAGGAGAGUGGAAUUCCUGGUGUAGCGGUGAAAUGCGCAGAUAUCAGGAAGAACACCCGUGGCGAAGGCGGCUCUCUGGGACGGUACUGACGCUGAGACGCGAAAGCGUGGGGAGCGAACAGG
rnacentral:rRNA from 1 species